rnacentral:misc_RNA from 1 species
AAAGUCGUAACAAGGUAACCGUAGGUGAACCUGCGGUUGGAUCAUUAAAAAAAACUUUGUUAAAGUGGAAAGCGUCGAAUGGGCACACAAAACCCUUCAGGAUUGUACAAAAUCCGCUUUUCACUUUUCCAAAAUACACCUUGUGUGAACUUGAACCUGGUAUUUGGUGGGAUGCAAAAGCAGCAGUUGCCACCUGGCAAGUGCUGUUGCGUAUCUCAGCAAAUACCUUUUUUCUAGACUUUAUGUUCUGAAUUAUUUAAGCCUGACAUUUUAUCUGUAUAAAUAUACAAAACAACUUUUGGCAACGGAUCUCUUGGCUCUC